GCUUUUGUACACACCGCCCGUCGCUACUACCGAUUGAAUGAUUCAGUGAGGUCUUCGGACUGGUACGCGGCAUCGACUCUGUCGUUGUCGAUGCUACCGGAAAGAUGACCAAACUUGAUCAUUUAGAGGAAGUAAAAGUCGUAACAAGGUUUCCGUAGGUGAACCUGCGGAAGGAUCAUUA
rnacentral:rRNA from 1 species